UAGAGGUUUGUGAAAAUGGAUCACAUGGUGCAUUUGCAAGUAUUCCUUAAAGAAUUCGGGCAGCUUCUCAGCAGAUCACUCAUACUGAGCAAAUCUAGAAGCAGUUCUGCUGCUGAUCCUGAAUUAAAAUAAACUUUUCACAAUUCAAAGAAGAAAUUAGAGACAUGAUUUUUUUUUCAAUUAAAGUUAUUCUUCAUUAAAUUUCUGUCCUGAAAUUGCCCACCUGACUGGAAAGACAUAGAUGUGACAAAAAUAGAACUUGGAAACGCCAAGUUUCACUCCAUGUGAAAGGGUUUAAGUGCAGGUGUCUGCAGGGGUGGUGACCUU
rnacentral:lncRNA from 1 species